UCAGUGUGCUUCCACCUCUACC
rnacentral:miRNA from 1 species